AUCCUGGCUCAGGAUGAACGCUGGCGGCGUGCUUAACACAUGCAAGUCGAACGGAGCUAUGACACGGAGUCUUCGGAUGAAGUGCUGUAGCUUAGUGGCGGACGGGUGAGUAACACGUGAGCAACCUACCUUUUGCAGGGGAAUAACUCUGGGAAACCAGAGCUAAUACCGCAUGCCGUGCGCUUGGGGCAUCCCAGGUGCAUGAAAGGAGCAAUCCGGCAGAAGAUGGGCUCGCGUCCGAUUAGGUAGUUGGAGAGGUAACGGCUCCCCAAGCCGACGAUCGGUAGCCGGACUGAGAGGUCGAUCGGCCACAUUGGGACUGAGACACGGCCCAGACUCCUACGGGAGGCAGCAGUGGGGAAUAUUGGGCAAUGGGCGGAAGCCUGACCCAGCGACGCCGCGUGAAGGAGGAAGGCUUUCGAGUUGUAAACUUCUUUGGGGAGGGACGAAGAUGACGGUACCUCCAGAACAAGCCACGGCUAACUACGUGCCAGCAGCCGCGGUAAUACGUAGGUGGCGAGCGUUAUCCGGAUUUACUGGGUGUAAAGGGCGCGCAGGCGGCCCUGGAAGUCAGAUGUGAAAGAUCAAGGCUUAACUUUGACAGGUCAUCUGAAACUUUGGGGCUUGAGUAUCAGAGGGGAAAGUGGAAUUCCUAGUGGAGCGGUAAAAUGCACAGAGAUUAGGAGGAACACCGGUGGCGAAGGCGACUUUCUGGCUGACAACUGACGCUGAGGCGCGAAAGCGUGGGGAGCAAACAGGAUUAGAUACCCUGGUAGUCCACGCCGUAAACGAUGAUUACUGGGUGUAGGGAGUAUCGACUCUCUCUGUGCCGAAGCAAACGCGAUAAGUAAUCCACCUGGGGAGUACGGCCGCAAGGCUAAAACUCAAAGGAAUUGACGGGGACCCGCACAAGCAGUGGAGUAUGUGGUUUAAUUCGAGGCAACGCGAAGAACCUUACCAGGGAUUGACAUCCUGCGCUAGGCCUGGAGACAGGUUGUUCCUUCGGGACGCAGAGACAGGUGGUGCAUGGUUGUCGUCAGCUCGUGUCGUGAGAUGUUCGGUUAAGUCCGGCAACGAGCGCAACCCUUGUGGCCAGUUGCCAUCAUUCAGUUGGGCACUUUGGCAAGACUGCCGUUGACAAAACGGAGGAAGGUGGGGAUGACGUCAAAUCAUCAUGCCCC
rnacentral:rRNA from 1 species